rnacentral:lncRNA from 1 species
AAGAGAUCUGAAAAUUCCCUGGCUAGCUGAACUGAUUCACAUUGGCUAAGACAAACUGUUAACUGUUACCUAAAGAAGAGAACAAACGAGAGAAGAGAAAACGCAAAGAGCCUGCAUGGCUUGGGUUUGAGGAAAAGUUUGGACAACUUUUGAGAGAGAGGAAGAGUGAUUUUGAACCACACAGCUGGACUGGGUGAGUGUAGUUUAUGGAAAAUAGAUGAGAGAAGAGGAUUCCUAGUAAGUUUUGGGAUGUGGAUGCAAUGUGAACAUAAAAGAUUGCCUUCUUAUGGAAACUGCAGCUAAGUACAGGCCAGGUGUGGUGGCUCACGCCUGUAAUUCAAGCCUUUGGG